UGAAAACAACGAAUCAGUGGCACGGUGGGACAUCAGAAAUGCCACCAGAGCCCCCUCCUUUCCAGGAAGCAGCACGCUGCGACGUUUGCAAAUGCAGCUUCAACACUUUCCGGCGUCGGCAUCAUUGUCGAUGUUGUGGCAGGACAUUGUGCCAUGAACAUUCUGCGAAUCAAAUGGCUUUACCGCAAUUUGGCAUUCACACCGAUGUGAGAGUUUGCGCUGAUUGUUUUAAUAAUUCUUCUCGG